rnacentral:misc_RNA from 1 species
ACGUUAAAAAAGCUGUCCUCACUGAGGAGAGACGUCUAUGAGCUCCAGCGAACCUCCAUCUCUGAAGGUUACCUGGUGUACAACAACAAGCGUAGAUAGUUAUCACACCUGUGAUGCCACCAAACACUGGCAAGCUGAUUUAUUUGAGAGGAGCUGACCAUAGGCCAGCAAAACCCCCAAAGUCCAAGCUCAUCAUGGCAAACCAUGAGAGUUGAGGUGUUCAUGAUACUCAAACAGGCAUGCCCAUCGGAAUAUCCAAGGGGCGCAAGGUGCGUUCAAAGAUUCGAUGAUUCACUGAAUUCUGCAAUUCACAUUACUUAUCGCAUUUCGCUGCGUUCUUCAUCGAUGCGAGAGCCAAGAGAUCCGUUGCUGAAAGUUGUAUUGUAUUGCGUUAAACGCGGUGUACAUUCCAUAUGACUUUAUUACAGUGUGUGUGUAAAGAUGCAGAACCACAGAAGGAAGACAGGGUCCCCCAGACCAUAGAACUACAGAGGGUGCACAGGUGUGAGUGGAUGUGUAAACAGAGCGUGCACAUGCC